AGAGUUUGAUCCUGGCUCAGAUUGAACGCUGGCGGCAGGCCUAACACAUGCAAGUCGAGCGGUAACACAGGGAGCUUGCUCCUGGGUGACGAGCGGCGGACGGGUGAGUAAUGUCUGGGAAACUGCCCGAUGGAGGGGGAUAACUACUGGAAACGGUAGCUAAUACCGCAUAAUGUCGCAAGACCAAAGAGGGGGACCUUCGGGCCUUGCGCGAUUGGAUAUGCCCAGGUGGGAUUAGCUAGUUGGUGAGGUAAUGGCUCACCAAGGCGACGAUCCCUAGCUGGUCUGAGAGGAUGAUCAGCCACACUGGAACUGAGACACGGUCCAGACUCCUACGGGAGGCAGCAGUGGGGAAUAUUGCACAAUGGGCGCAAGCCUGAUGCAGCCAUGCCGCGUGUAUGAAGAAGGCCUUCGGGUUGUAAAGUACUUUCAGCGAGGAGGAAGGCGUUGUGGUUAAUAACCGCAACGAUUGACGUUACUCGCAGAAGAAGCACCGGCUAACUCCGUGCCAGCAGCCGCGGUAAUUC
rnacentral:rRNA from 1 species